CCUACGGGAGGCAGCAGUGGGGAAUAUUGCGCAAUGGACGCGAGUCUGACGCAGCGAAGCCGCGUGAAGGAUGAAGGUUUUAGGAUCGUAAACCUCUGUCUGGAGGGGAGAAAGCGCAUGGCGCCAAUCCGCCAUGCGUUUACGGUACCACCAAGGGAAGGGCCAGCUAAAUCCGGGACCGCAGCCGCUGUGAGACGGAGGGGGGGCGCGUUAAUCGGAGUUGCUGGGAGUAAAGGGCGAGUAUGCGGGUGUGUAAGUUGGUGGUGAAAUCUUACGGCUCAACCGUGGAACAGCCCUUGAUACUGGGCGACUUGAAUCCGGUAGAGGGUGGCGGAAUUCCAGGUGUAGGAGUGAAAUCCGUAGAUAUCUGGAGGAACAUCAGUGGCGAAGGCGGCCACCUGGACCGGUAUUGACGCUGAGGCGCGAAAGCGUGGGUAGCAAACAGGAUUAGAUACCCGUGUAGUC
rnacentral:rRNA from 1 species